rnacentral:rRNA from 1 species
UACGAAGGGGGCUAGCGUUGUUCGGAAUUACUGGGCGUAAAGCGCACGUAGGCGGACAUUUAAGUCAGGGGUGAAAUCCCAGAGCUCAACUCUGGAACUGCCUUUGAUACUGGGUGUCUUGAGUAUGGAAGAGGUGAGUGGAAUUCCGAGUGUAGAGGUGAAAUUCGUAGAUAUUCGGAGGAACACCAGUGGCGAAGGCGGCUCGCUGGGCCGGACCUGACGCUGAGACGCGAAGGCGUGGGGAGCGAACGGG